UAGGGAAUCUUCGGCAAUGGGGGGAACCCUGACCGAGCAACGCCGCGUGAGUGAAGAAGGUUUUCGGAUCGUAAAGCUCUGUUGUUAAGGAAGAACGAGUGUGAGAAUGGAAAGUUCAUACUGUGACGGUACUUAACCAGAAAGGGACGGCUAACUACGUGCCAGCAGCCGCGGUAAUACGUAGGUCCCGAGCGUUGUCCGGAUUUAUUGGGCGUAAAGCGAGCGCAGGCGGUUAGAUAAGUCUGAAGUUAAAGGCAGUGGCUCAACCAUUGUAGGCUUUGGAAACUGUUUAACUUGAGUGCAGAAGGGGAGAGUGGAAUUCCAUGUGUAGCGGUGAAAUGCGUAGAUAUAUGGAGAAACACCGGUGGCGAAAGCGGCUCUCUGGUCUGUAACUGACGCUGAGGCUCGAAAGCGUGGGGAGCGAACAGG
rnacentral:rRNA from 1 species